rnacentral:rRNA from 1 species
UGCGUAGGGGGCAAGCGUUAUCCGGAAUUACUGGGCGUAAAGCGCACGCAGGCGGUUCGUUAUGUCGGAUGUGAAAGCCCUUGGCUUAACCGAGGAAGUGCAUCCGAAACUGGCGAGCUAGAGUACGAAAGAGGAUCGCGGAAUUCCCGGUGUAGAGGUGAAAUUCGUAGAUAUCGGGAGGAACACCGGUGGCGAAGGCGGCGAUCUGGGUCGAUACUGACGCUGAGGUGCGAAAGCGUGGGGAGCAAACAGG